CAGUAGCCGCGGUAAUACGUAGGUGGCAAGCGUUGCCCGGAAUUAUUGGGCGUAAAGCGCGCGCAGGUGGUUUAAUAAGUCUGAUGUGAAAGCCCACGGCUCAACCGUGGAGGGUCAUUGGAAACUGUUAAACUUGAGUGCAGGAGAGAAAAGUGGAAUUCCUAGUGUAGCGGUGAAAUGCGUAGAGAUUAGGAGGAACACCAGUGGCGAAGGCGGCUUUUUGGCCUGUAACUGACACUGAGGCGCGAAAGCGUGGGGAGCAAACAGGAUUAGAUACCCCAGUAGUCCCUGUCUCUUAUAC
rnacentral:rRNA from 1 species